GCUUGUCUCAAAGAUUAAGCCAUGCAUGUCUAAGUAUAAAUAUCUAUACUGUGAAACUGCGUAUGGCUCAUUAAAUCAGUUAUAGUUUAUUUGAUGAUACCCCACUACAUGGAUAACCGUGGUAAUUCUAGAGCUAAUACAUGCUGUAAAGCCCGACUUUUCGGAAGGGCCGUAUUUAUUAGAUAACAGACCAAUAUUCCUCGUGUCUAUUGUGGUGAAUCAUAGUAACUAAUCGGAUCGCAUGGGCUAGUCCCGCGACAAACCAUUCAAGUUUCUGCCCCAUCAGCUUUCGAUGGUAGUGUAUUGGACUACCAUGGCUUUUACGGGUAACGGAGGAUUAGGGUUCGAUUCCGGAGAGGGAGCCUGAGAAACGGCUACCACAUCUAAGGAAGGCAGCAGG
rnacentral:rRNA from 1 species